AUUACAAUUUGGAUAUGCUUUACAAGCUCAAUCACUAUAUGAUGUAGGCAACUUGAUACUCCUUAAGUCCAUUCACCAAACUGAAGGAUGAGUUGUUUGAAUUCUUGAAGAGACGCUUAAUUCUGAUUUAAAGUUCUACCAUUUGAAGACGAAUUUGUAACUGAAAUGUUCCUUGUUCCAAUUAUGAUGUGGUGAAAGGUAUAUGGGCAAAGGAUUAUGCUGAGAUAAACUUAACAUCAUCCUGGAUAAGGUGAGAAACAAGAGAACACCAAUCUGGUGGUUUAAUUUUUUUAAUAUUUCAUAUAUCCUAUUGAGUGAAUUAGAUCGUCUGAUGUGGAGAUACACAAGUGAUACAAAUACUUGAAAUAGGUUGCUAAAACAUAGGUUCUCUAUUAGGGUAAUAGUGACCCAACAUUCUCUCUCUCUCUCUCUCUCCGUGUAUAUAUAUAUAUAUAUAUAUAUCUUCAAUCCCUCAUUAACGGUCAUCUCCCUUCUCAUCUUCCUUGUGCCAUCACCGGCGGUCACCGAAAUCACAAUUCGCCCCGCUUUCUUCAAGAUUGCGACGUCCCAGAUCUGGGCUAAGGAGCAUCACCUCCGCUCUCUAGAUAUCCUCUUUUUCCCUCUUAGAGCGGGCCCGACGGUCGUAUGCAGACACCAACUCGACAGCGAUGACCAGCGGCGGCAGAGGCAUGUGGCGGAGUGUGGAAGGACAGAAAUUGACACAGGCGGGUGUAAUAACAAUGUUUUGACAUCCAAAUCGGUAAUCCAGGUUCUGAUCACCCAGAGUGGGUACCUCCAGAUAUCCUGUCUCCCCUUUGUUUUCCUUUCUAGUAUGUUUCAAACUUUGAAAGUGCAAAAUGAAGUUGGAGAUGCAAUGUGUUUAAAUGAAAUUAGGCUUCCCUUCCAGAUUUUCUCUUCUUUUGUUUAGCAUUACAUGUAUUAAUUAGUUUGAUAGUCAAAGUUUCUAGUUGUAAUUAAUGUCAACAUCAACACCCUAUUCCCUAGUAAGAUUCAGAAUUCGAGUGUUAAAAAUCUAAAUCUGUACAGUAUUCUAUUUUGGAACUGUGUUAAACUAUGGUUGGUAAGGCUGCCAUAUGAGUCUAGGCAGCUGAAUAUUUUUGACACGUUUGGCAUGAAAUCAAUGAAUAUUCAUGCUUAAAGGAAUGGAAUUAGACAGAGUUGAGUACA